rnacentral:rRNA from 1 species
UUCCAGCUCCAAUAGCGUAUAUUAAAGUUGUUGCGGUUAAAAAGCUCGUAGUUGAAUUUGUGUUUCGCACUGUCGGUUCACCGCCCGCGGUGUUAACUGGCAUGUUUGCGAAACGUCCUGCCGGUGGAUGUUUAAAUAUGGGGGUUUAAUACUCUUAACAGAGUUUUUAUUCUUUCCAUACAUCCGACUUAUAAAUCCUGUCACGGUGCUCUUAAUUGAGUGUCGAGGCGGGCCGGCACGUUUACUUUGAACAAUUAAAGUGCUCAAAGCAGGCUAAUUAAUGCCUGAAUAAUUAGUGCAUGGAAUAAUGGAACAGGACCUUGGUUCUAUUUUGUUGGUUUUCGGAACCCCAAGGUAAUGAUUAAUAGGGACAGAUGG